UCUUGAAUGCUUCCAGGCGCCUUAUG
rnacentral:piRNA from 1 species